rnacentral:rRNA from 1 species
CCUACGGGAGGCUGCAGUGAGGAAUAUUGGUCAAUGGGCGCAAGCCUGAACCAGCCAAGUAGCGUGAAGGAUGACUGCCCUAUGGGUUGUAAACUUCUUUUGUAUGGGAAUAAAGUGCUCCACGUGUGCUGCUUUGCAUGUACCUUAUGAAUAAGGCUCGGCUAACUCCGUGCCAGCAGCCGCGGUAAUACGGAGGAUCCGAGCGUUAUCCGGAUUUAUUGGGUUUAAAGGGAGCGUAGGUGGGUUGUUAAGUCAGUUGUGAAAGUUUGCGGCUCAACCGUAAAACUGCAGUUGAAACUGGCAUUCUUGAGUACAGUAGAGGUAGGCGGAAUGCGUGGUGUAGCGGUGAAAUGCUUAGAUAUCACGAAGAACUCCGAUUGCGAAGGCAGCAUACUGGACUGCAACUGACGCUGAGGCUCGAAAGUGUGGGUAUCAAACAGGAUUAGAUACCCUGGUAGUC